UACGGGGGGGGCAAGCGUUGUUCGGAAUUACUGGGCGUAAAGGGCUCGUAGGCGGCCAACUAAGUCAGACGUGAAAUCCCUCGGCUUAACCGGGGAACUGCAUCUGAUACUGGAUGGCUUGAGUUCGGGAGAGGGAUGUGGAAUUCCAGGUGUAGCGGUGAAAUGCGUAGAUAUCUGGAGGAACACCGGUGGCGAAGGCGGCAUCCUGGACCGACACUGACGCUCAUGCACGAAAGCGUGGGGAGCAAACAGG
rnacentral:rRNA from 1 species